UGGGAAAUCUUCUGCAGUGAUGGAAACUCUAAAACAAAGGCUGCCAUAUGUUUAAUCCCACCAAGCUGGAGCUCUCACAGAGGCAUGGGUAUAAAGGAAGAAAUCCUGAUGAUGUGCAGUUCCAGCAUUACACGGUAAAAUAACUUCUUUUAGGCCAACAGAUCCUGCUCCCCACAAAGCCAACAAGCAUAAAACAACACCAUGAAGGAGGGAGAAAACUGGUGGAGAGAGAAAAAAAUGAAGGGGAGCACAUUCUGUUAAAAAGAUCUCUCUGUUUGCUCAAGAGUCUUCUCCCACCUGGAGCCUUCUUAAGCCUGGCUUUACUAUAAAUUCAAGAUUAAAAUCCUCACUCUAUCAACAAGUGGGACACAAAAU